AAGAAUGGGAGCUUUUUUGCUUGAGUUACUACAGUGUCUGGGUUAUAAAGAGAAUAAGACUCAACAAUAUGAAAUCAAUAUGAAGUGGUUUGUUUGUGAAGUCUAUCUCCAGUGUCUCUAUCUGCCCUGAGUGCCUGCUUUAUAAAAUGGGGGAAGCCUCUAUUUUGCAGAAAUGAUUUGGGGUUAGGUUACAAAACUGUGGGAUACUGGACAAAUAUGGUGGUGAAAGCUAGAGAAGUGACAGACAUACAAGAUGCCUUUCCAUUCUCCGUCAAAAUCAGGAGGAACAUUUCCCAAACCUCCCCCCUUAGGAAAAUGGGUUGCUUACCUGGUUCUUCCUCCUCUUUCUGGUUGGCAAAGAGAAGGUGCCUCUAACAGAAAGAAUAAUGGAGAACGUUGCUUUUCACAACAUUUAUUGAGAAAUAAUGUACCGCCAUUAGUAGAAGCAGCAAAUACCUGAAAUUGCAUGGAGGAAUCCACCAAUCUUGCAACACUGACAAACUGUAAACUGUAUGCCAAAGACACAUAGGCUCACCUAACCCUACUUGAAAGAUGGUGCAACUGAUGCGACACAAUUUGCAUCUUCCUUUGGUGGUACGGCGAGGAGAGAAGGAUACACACAUCUACAAAUAUAAUCUUAUGACUUCAGCCAAAAUCAUUGAUUUCAGGAUUUCAUGGUGCUCCAACUCAAGAGUAGAAGAAAAGCUCAAAGUCGGCAAGGAUGACAUAGCUAUGAAGUUUUCAAAUAGAGGAAACCAUUUUGCUUCUUAAAUGGAAAAGAUAGAUACACGAUAGUGCUCUUGAAAUCUGUAUUUUUAUUUUAUUGUAUUUUAUUUUAUUUCCAUUCCAAUAACUGUUUAGGUCUACAAGUCAACUUUACUUUUGAGUUUAGUAGACCAAUAAAUGGCAGCGCAGAGCAUUUCAAUGAUGUAUCAACUUUUGCAUACUACUCUAUGGGAAAUGCAGUAAGCCCACUGAAAAUGAGUGAAAUAAACAGUAAAAAAAUAGGGCAUGAGUGACUGUAAACAUGAAUGUCCCAUAAUUCAUGGGUGAUUUCCCUCAAAGUAUAUACUCCUUUAAUGGGCCUCCUUUAAAUGCAGUGAUUGUAAUUUUUUUGUACGCAUUUUCCUUUUGAGAAAGCAAUAAAAUGUAAGUGAUAACAUCAAAAAUCCUUUUUUAGUUGCCGUGCACAGUGCAUCUUGAGUGUAAGUUAAUGGUUUACAUAUUAAUUUUCUCAUUUCUCUGAUGGGCAGAAAAUUGCUUUAAUAUAAAUGCAGUUAAAUUUGUCAUUUUAUAUCUACACAGUUUAGGCUUCAAAAUUUAUUACACGCAGCCUCAAAUUGUUGCUGCAUGGCAAUUUAGCAGCUUUUUGGGAAGAAAAAUGUGUCAAGUUAGAUGUGGAGGUAAAAUUUCUCUCUCAAUAUAAUUAAUUUUUAUGUUUAUCGCCUAAUCAAUUGUUUUAAAGGAUGCUGUGAGGCUGUAAUAA